AUACUUACCUGGCAGGGGAGAUACCAUGAUCACGAAGGUGGUUUUCCCAAGGUGAGGCUUAUGUAUUAUACUCUGGACGUGCUGACCCCUGUGAUUUCCCCCAAUAGGGGAAACUCAACUGCAUAAUUUGUGGUAGUGGGGGACUGCGUUCACGCUUUCCCCAA